UGUCUGCGCCAAUCAAGAGCACCAAAUAUAUCUUAAGUGAAAGCUUUUUGAGAUUUACAAUAUUAUUUUCGAGUUUUCGUUUUAUAAGGAUUACCAGAAAGCUUGUGUUGAUAUUAGCUGACCUUGUUACUCAAAUUAAGUUUUUCUAACACUUUGCUUUUUUUGUAUUAUUUUGUUAUUCUCUUCCUCUCACCCAUCUUUCUCUCUAGAACCAAUGAUGGAAGAUGGUGAGCAAGACCAAGGAGUGAGAUCAAGAAGAGAGAGUGAGAGGAAGAAUCCAGCCGCGAAGGGGAAAGAGUUGCAGAAGGGAAAAAAAAUCAAAGAAGCGAAAGGAAGGAGCGAUAUGUGAUAGGAAGAAAUGAGAUCCAUGUUCGCCGCUCAGUCCAUAGAGCAUGUUUGUGGGUUGAAUCGGUAAUUUCACAAUGCGCUUGCUGAAGACCAAAUUUGAUUUCAAGCAGUGGGUCAAAUUUCAUUUGUUCUCUUGGAAAUGGACAUCCAUACGAAAAUCCCAACGACUUGGUUAGAAAUCGCCACCAGAAAAGCAGGGAGAGCGAGAGCACUAGUUUACUGAUACAGGCCAACAGGUUGGUGUGGAAUCGUUUGCUUGGCUUAGAAUUUCAAGGUUUACAGGCUCUUCAUCUCCCCAGCUGCCCAGAUAAACGCCAUGGACCUCCCAUGGCUCCUUUCCAUAAUGCUGGCUAAAGCUAAACACCGAAUCAGUAUCCGGUGCAGAGAUCUGUAAUGGAGCUGUAACCGAACAGUUCUGACCACCUGGUGCAAACGCAAAGGUCAGCAAGUAACUCAAAAAAUCCACAUCGGCUUUGAAGGUUUGACGGCGGAGAUUCGAAAUCUGCAUUCUUCAGAAGUUCUGAAAAUGAACAGAGACAAUGUAAGAGAAGGAGAUAAAAUGGGGUUUUCUUCUUAUUAUUUUUUUCAGUUUCUGAAAUUGUUAAAGCAGUGGCUGAGCUUUACCUCUGGAUGUUACUCCGGUGGAAACAAGGAGGAGGAGGAGAAUUUCCAGCAGUCGCGUUGAUUGGUUGGAGGAAGAAGGGAGCCAGAAUGCCAUUGUCACGUGGAGAAAUGGGUAGACUUUGACUUGGAGUUUGCAAGACAAGCAGGUACAGCUAGCUAGUUGAGUGGGUUUUAUCAUUAAGUAAUGUGUCGUGGACAACCCAGAAUAUACUUCUAAAGAGGGAGCGUUUGAUCGACUAAGUGAGGUUAAUAAGUAUGAGGUUAAUAUAGUUAAUAUAUCGAAGUUAAUAAGUUUUUGUUUGGAGUUUAGUAUAAGGAUAGAAGAAGAAGUUCUUUUGGUAAAAAAAAA